CCGGGACUUAGGAGUUCGGGUCUGGCAUGGCUCGGCGAAGAGGUCUGGAGGACAAGUCUGGCUUCAACGUAGAGAACUGGCUCGACGAAGGUCUUAAUGAAAUUAGCAACAAAAAGUUGAGUGAUGUGAUCGUGCGCGUAAAAGUUGAAAGUGUUACCGCAAAAAUGUAAUCCUUAAAAAGUGUAAUAUACAGAUAAGUGAAGUUUACUGAUCUGUUUUGACUCUACAGUAAAUAUCACAAAAAUCCUGAAAGCCUAAACCGCUCGGGCCGUUCAGGUGGUGACUAGCGGAAAGCAACGCUGUGUGUGUUUGGACACGCCAUUUUGAUUGGACAAAAUCGAGAGUUGAAAAUGUGACUAUGUGUGAAAAUUAAUGAACAAAAUGAUUUCGCGAAGUAACAAACAGUUAAAAUAGUGUAAAAAAAACGUUAAAUUGAAGAAAAUGUUAUGUGAGGAGUUCUAAGAUGGAAGCAAAUGUGCAGCAGUACGAGAUGGAACCAAAACGGGCUCGACCAAUGGCAGAAGCAUCGAAAAUUUCGAAACCGGCCAACGAUGGACAGCAUUAGGGAUUCAACAAUGACGAGAUCAUCUGGAUCAACUGGAGACGAAAUUCAGCCGCAUCGAACACCCAAGAAGACGACCAUGGAAAUCUGGCAGUUUAGGGAAACCAUUGGAAGACGAUCAAGAAGACAACAAUAUCAGCAAGGACGCUUGCAAAGACGAAUAUGGACUACAGCUCAAGAAAGGGUAAAAUUUGUGAGUACACCGUGAGGAAUCUAAAAAGAUCGGAAAGGAUGGUAAAAGUUCCGAUCUAGGGAUACAGAAACUGAUAAAGCAACGCCAAAGGGAUUAAAAAGUAGACAAUUGUACUCUAUGGGGAGAGUUUUAUGUCAAAUAUAGCUUUAAAACAGUUGUAAUCCAUGGGGGGAUUCAAUAUGUUAAAAACAUUUCAAAACAUUUGCACUUUACGGGGAUAGUCAAAUGAAAAUUAAAGGGAAUGGAUAAAUAACGCUUCAAGGGAAAAUCAAGGGAUAAAAUAAUGCUUCAAGGGAAAAACACCUUUAAACUGAUAAAAUUCAGAGAAAAAAAAAUCAGAACGAUAUCAUUAGAAUGAUAAUUGAACCAACUAAUUAUCUUGCAAAUUCAGCAUUUUAUUG